UUACGGCUAUAUCACGUUGAAACACUAGUUUCCGUAUGAUUACCGAAGUUAAGCAAUGUCGAGCCUGGUUAGUAACUAGAUGGGUAACGCUUGAGAAUACCAAGUGCUGU